ACUCACUGAGGGCGGAACUGGCAGCCGCCGCCGGAUAGCUGAAAAGCUUGAUUAGGAGAUGCAGGUUAGUCACCCUGCCUUGAGU
rnacentral:ncRNA from 1 species